rnacentral:lncRNA from 1 species
GUCCCCAAAAGUCAUGUAGAAUUGGUAAUAGAUUGUUCUAGUGUCAAGACUUCUACACAUAUCAUUCAUGGUGGACAAGAAGGACACGUCUCAAGCAGGCUGGUAUUGCCGAUAACAACAAAUGACACACAUUGUUGGAGCAUAAGGUUGGUGCUCAGAGUGAAGCCAAUCAGCAAAUACCAUCACAGCUUCAACAUUUAAACUAUUGAACAUUCUCUGAAAAGAAAUAGGGAUCCAUGACCAAGCAAAAAAGUUCGAUAUAGUGAAUAUUAAGGAGUACAUAUCCUACAGGGUGACAUGAUACUGCAAGAUGUGAUUCUGACAAAAGGCCAUUUCAGGUCCACGCAGUUUGGUCCUGCAUGGAAUAUAAUACAGCUAUGAUUUAGAUUCUGACUGUAAAGGUGGUGAACCAUGUCCACAUUUUUUUUCCAAAAAAAAAAAAAAAGAGGACCAGAUUAUGGCAACCAGUACAUUAGCUUUUACUUGUGAGAUAACUUUUGGUGAGCCAAGCAUAUUUAUAGCAACAGAGUUUCAAACUGAUAAAGCAAUAUAUGCAAAUCAAAAGGGAACAGUUGAACAUAGAUUUACUAUAGAAUGAGGGACCAUGAAGACGGCAGAUUUCAAUUUAUAAAUCAUUUUAGGAGACUUCUCCUUAUGAUAUUGAUGCCCUAACAGCAGAUAUCAGAUGGAAGAAACCACAAAAGGACCUCAUCUUUGUCAUAAUUAAAUGUUUGAUAUUUGAGGAGAAUAAAGAUCAGACUUUUGGAAUCAUAAAACUUGUGUCAAAUAGAAUUGCUGAUAGAAAGAGUAGGAAGCCAUAUAACAUUUUUCACAUCGAUCACUAACAUGGCCUUCUUAGGAAAAUUGGCAGAACACUCAACUUUAAAUGAAAAGCCAAUUUUAUUUUGCAACCAAAAGAAUGUCUUAUCACAAGAUAAAUGAAUCACCAAAGUGAACUGCAUAUAAUAGCACAUACAACAGUACACUGGACUGAUGAGAGAGAGAGAGAGAGAGAGAGUUACAAAAAAAAUCAAGAAUUAUCACAAGUAUCCAAAGUCAAGUUGCAAAAUGGUUUGUAAUCAGUUGGAAUUUGAAAUAAGAAUAUAGUCACCCGAUCAUUUAUCAAAACCAACUAUAAUGCAAAAGCAUUAAUUCUUAUUUCCAUGUUUAGAACCUACCUAUCUUAUCCUAAGGUUGAAGAAAUCACCUCCAUCUUUGACAUAUUGGAUUACAUCCAGCCAUGAUUAUUGUGUUUUGACAAAUUAUCACAUGUCCCAAAACAUAGUAAUGUGGACCUUUAUUCUAACAAUUUUUAUCCAGAGAUAAACAAUAAUUGAUAUGAAAUAAUUCUCAAAAAAAAAAAAAAUACCUGUUUCAUGGCUAUGAACCAAUAAUCUCUAAAAUCAACUAACUAAUAACUUCUUAGCUUUUCUUCAUACAACGUUAUGCGAGUACUGAUCUGUACCGGUCAAUAGGAGGGCGUCUCAUACCAACCUAAUCGUGUACAGAGGUUAAGAAUGUUGUUUAGCUGGCUGUAGCAGCAUGCAUGUCCUGGUACAGAGGUCCAAUACCCAGACUUGGAACAUUGGUAUCAGGUACUAGAAGACUUAUGUCUAUGCUUAUAAUACAUGCCAUUAUACACAUUUUUUUUCUGUACAAUGUAAAUAUAGUUCGUGCAGAGUUAACUUAUUCUAUUUUUGUUAUAUGAAUGUGCAUAACAUGAGGUAUAUAUAUAUAUAUAUGCAGGACUGCCAUGUUGUGGAAACCGCUCAUCAAUCCUUUUGCUCAUAUCUCAAACAACUCUAAAUUAACGAGAGAAAAAAAAAUGCAAGUUGCAAAAGAAUGCAGAUGAUUAUGAAACCCAAGAGUUUAAAGACCUAUUUGAAUGGUUGGGCUCAAAAUCCUAUAGGAUUCAUGGCCUAGCUCAAUCUGAUUUGGAUGGUUGUAUUGGCCCAAACCCACGAUUCCUAUGGGAUUUUAGGCCCGACCAUCCAAACAGGCCCUGAGUGGGGUUUGGGAGGGGGGAGGGCAGGGUGUCGAACACAGAUCAAUGCUGGAUGUAGGCUUACCUUGAGAACCAAAAGCAAAAAUUAAGGGCUUGCUUGGCAUUUUCUUUUUCAAAAAAGCCCAAGAAGAAAUGUGAACUAGACUGAACAACAAGUACAAUGAAAUCCUUUUGUUUUCUAAGUUGUUUGUAAAAUCUUCAGAGCUUGCGGCAGCAAAGAUUUAUUGCUUAAAGAAAACGAGUGGAAAUAAAAGCAAGGAGUAACAUAAUUUUUUUUUGCAAGUGUUAUCCUCACCAUCAAGCUGCAUGUGGGAUUUCACUAAUAUGUAAAGAAACAAAGCCACAAAAUUAACAAUGACCCCAAACAGUUCCUAAAUUUUUAAUAAGGAAGGGAGAAAAAGGUAACUAGAAUUUACGAAGAACUGAAAGGUGAUACGGGGUUUCAGCAAGAUCAAUAAUCAAAUUAUCCUACAGCCUAGGAAUUAGGUGAACAACAGUCCAUGUAUUUCAGACAUGCAAAAAAAAUUUCAGGAGGAUAAAUUACAUUUCACACAAACGAUUUAAAACUUAUAAGCAUACUAAAACCUUGAUAAGUGCAGAAUCCUCCGAAGCCAUAAGCAAGCCCAAACUACUAGCAAAGGAUGACACUUACAGAAAAUCAAUAAAAUCUCCUACGAAGAGAAGCCAGGUCUACAUAAAUCCCUACGUUUGACCAUC